AUACCUCUCAGAGUCCAGGAGGCAGUGAGGGAAAGCUUUUAAUUCAAAGCCCUAUCCAUCUUCCCAACUCAGGUGAGAUGGGGACUAGAAAGUCGGUCUGGCUGAAGCUAAGUGAGGCCAGCCUUCUGGGUGUUGGGUAUCAGGUUCUGGACGGGGCUGGCAGUUGUGUGUGGGGCUCAUGGAUGGUUUUAGGCCCUUCUGCCCCCUUUGUCAGUGUGCCCUUGUGGGAAGCCGGUGCGUUUCCAGGGGAGCUGCUGGAGGCUUCUUAUGGCAUGCAGAUCAAGGAAGACCUGUAGACUACAUGCACCCUGGCGCUCUGGGAACGGGGAGCCAUGGAACGUGCGUGAAGCGGUGUGUAAAACUGGAGAGAAAAACCCUAAGGAGACCUCAUCGGACGUUCCUGUGAUAAUCUAGGCCUCAGGACAGGCAGACUGGGAUGCUUGUGUUACCCCUAACUUUAGAUUACUCUCCCACUGCUCCCCUCCUUCACUGUAGAUUCCCACAAUUUCAGUAUCAAUGUAAUUACAAUUUAGGGGCUUAGAAACUCCUGUAUUUAUUGAGAACCCACUUAAUUUACAUAUAUUGAGUUUCAA
rnacentral:lncRNA from 1 species